GACGAACGCUGGCGGCGUGCCUAAUACAUGCCAGUCGAGCGGACGGAUGGUAGCUUUCUCCCGGACCGUCAUCGGCGGACGGGUGAGUAACACGUGGUCAACCUGCCUGUAAGACUGGGAUAACUCCGGGAAACCGGGGCUAAUACCGGAUGACUCUUUCCCUCACAGGAGGGAAAGCUGAAGGAUGGCAGCUCGCGAUCACUUACAGAUGGGCCCGCGUUGCAGGAGCUAGUUGGGGAGGUAACGGCUCACCAAGGCGACGAGGCGUAGACGAACGGAGGGGGUGAUAGGCGACACUGGAACUGAGACAGGGACCAGACUCCUAAGGGAGGCAGCAGUAGGCAAUCUUACGCAAUGGACGAAAGUCUGACGGAGCAACGCCGAGUGAGUGAUGAAGGCUUUCGGAUCGUAAAACUCUGUUGUCAGGGAAGAACAAGUACCGGCGUAAAUGCCGGUAGCUUGACGGUAACGGAUAAGAAAGCAACGGCUAACUACGUG
rnacentral:rRNA from 1 species